CUGGGAUUACAAGUAUGAGUCCCUGCACCUGGCUCAACUACUCUGGUUUAUACAGUGAUAAUGGCCUAUUGUGGUAGCCUUUUCUCUUGAGGAUUUUGUUUACUGUGUAGAGUGAAUUGAAAAAAUAAUUGGAUUUUGUCAACAUGGAGGGAAGAACACUUUUUGUGGGCACCACCUUUAUGUGCCUCGCAGGGUACCACAGGAUGAUAGCAAACAUUUCUUUUGACCUGAUUUGCCCUGUUGCCCUAGGCCUGCUAAAAAAGAUUGAAGUUUGUGUGCCUAGUUCUAUGACCUGGAUGUCAAGAUUUCCUGUGAGCCCAGUGUUCAUUCUGAAGAGGGCAUUGUUGAUGUGAAAGUCUCCAGUGCUUCUGGAAGCAACAUGAGUUGGGUCCCUUGACUAUCACAUACUACCCAGCACUGUUGAGAGAUUGCUGUCUUUUGGACCUUUACAAGAGCCAGUCCCUGAUAUUCAGAUUCCCAUAGGUCUCCCUGGGCAGUUGACCUUCUGGCUAUCACUGCAUAAACAGGAACCUCAGCAUGGACAGAAGAGAGAUCCAGGGAUGGGGCUUCCGUAACCCAGCCAGCAUUGCUAGUGAUGAAGAUGGUCUUGGACUUUAAUGCUCUCCAGUUUUUGCUGAUAUUGAGGCAAAACUCACUUUCCUAAAUUGUAGGUAGAGCCAAAAUAGUUGGCAGAUGUAACUUUCCAAAAAUAGUACGUACUGAUUUUUGUGGGGAACAUUUAGUUCUCAGCAGCUUUCUUGAGGUAUGAUUAACAUGCAAUAAACUGUAAACAUGUAAAGUA